rnacentral:rRNA from 1 species
GCUUACGACCACACCGGCCUGAGUACGCCUGAUCUCGGAAGCUAAGCAGGGUUGGGCCUGGUUAGUACUUGGAUGGGAGACUUCCUGGGAAUACCAGGUGCUGUAAGCU